GUGACAGUCCGCUAGUAAAGAUACAGUUUAAAUAUUGAUUCUUUGUUAAGUUGUCUGUUUCGUGUAGAGACAACACUGAAUCAUCCCUUGAGUUAGGAGCCUUUAAAAAAAAUGAAUGAUGCAUAAUUAAGUGUCAAAUUGCUUAACAAAUAAAAACAUCCCUCUCAUAAUGAUCAGGUCCAAGAACUGGGAAUGAAAAUGAAAUGAGUGAAAAAGCAGUCGAUAUCCAAAGAAAAACUUUGAAGGACGUUUUGUGGUUUUCAUAGGAACUGUUGCUCAACUAUUGCUCAAGAUCACUUUAAGUGUGACUCCUCGGCAGAAAACAUAAACAAAGAGGGGUUGUUUGAGAGUUUUGGACAUUUCUGUCUCUCUCUCUCUCUUUUUUUUUCUUUUUUUUUUUUGCUACUGGUGUUUUAAUACUUAAUGAAUAUUUUAUUAUUUCCAUUAUGUAACACCGUUUUUCUUGUCACACAGAGGUUGAGUGGGGAGAGAGGGCAAAAGUUCAAAAUCCAGGUCAGUCUCAGUUAGAAACAGUGCUGUAGGUGAGUGAGCACUUGUCACAUCAUCUUCAAGAAGACGUCCCUCUGUCGAUGUACCUAAGUUCUGUGGUACAAAAAGCAUAUAGAGGGAUUAAAGAUAUAAUAUACUACUUAGCGACAGACUUAGCUCGAAAUAAUUCCCAAGCGUGUUCCUUAAAAGAGCAGGAAGAGGUGGUGAAUGAAAGAAAUCCAUCCAGAUCCAGCUGAUAAAUGAAGACCAAGAACAGGUUUGACAGCUCUGACUCAGUCCUUCCAACAAAGACAUGGAUGGAUGGAGGGAGGCAGAGGGAGAAAGAGAAAGAAAAAAAAUGUCACAUCACUGGCAAUUCCAGGUAUAUUAGUGGGUCACAGUGAAAUAUAAACCACACCCAAGUGUUUUUCUUUUUUUAUGAACGUGUUUCUAUUUGUCUUAAUGGCAAACAGUAGCAAAGAUCAUUUAAUCAUUAACAUUUGAUCAUUUCUCCGGCAACUUGAGCGAACCACUUGGCAUUAAUGGCCCAUGUCUGAGCUGCACACACCUCACCAGAGAGUUAUGAAAACGUUGUGGUCCAGAGGUGGCCAGCUGAUGCCUAUCCAGCGGUUUUUCUCAUGAAUCUGGCUCCUAAUCCAGCCGCUUGCCAGUCUUGAAAUGUCAGAUGGUCUAAAGUAAGUGCAGCACACUAAAACGUGCCCCCACGUUCUCCCUUGCAGCCCUAUAGCGUCUUAUAUCUACCACCACGCUGAUUUCCUUUUCUUUUUUUCUUUUUUUUUUCUACCUGGACCGAAAAACGCCUGAGGUUUUUCUCAUGGGAAAAUCUUGGAGAGGUAUGUUGCUCCGUGAGCAGGGAGUGAGAGUGGAAUCCCGUUUUUCAGGAUUUAAUCUCACUCCCCACUCAUGAUCCAAUCCCAAAGUCUUCAUGACGACCGGCAUCGUGUCUGAACACGCCGCAGAUGUUAGGAAAUUCUCGCUCAGCCGGAUUCAGAGGUUUUGGUUGCGCGCAGCACCUUUCCACGACUUCUCGUCUUUUGACUUUUUCUUCUAGCUAAAUCCAUGACUCACAUUUCUCUUUGAAACUCAUCCAUCUUUUUUUCUGUCUUUUUCCUCAACACAGCAGAUUUGGACUCUUCCAUACAAAGAAGACACCUACAUUAAAGCAAUCAAGACAACCCUGAUUUCUUUGAAUAAAAUGCAACAUGACAAUGCAAAGUGUUUAUCAUGAAGCCUAUAAUAGUAAAUUAUUUACCAGCAUUUUUAGCUAAGAAGAAAAAUAAUUGAAUUUAAUUGGAAUUAGCUGGAUAAA
ensembl:lncRNA